GUGCCAGCAGCCGCGGUAAUACGGAGGGGGCUAGCGUUGUUCGGAAUUACUGGGCGUAAAGGGCGCGUAGGUGGUUGUAUAAGAUUGAUGUGAAAUCCCUGGGCUUAACCUAGGAACUGCAUCGAUGACUGUAGAGCUAGAGUACUGUAGAGGGUAGUGGAAUUUCCGGUGUAGCGGUGAAAUGCGUAGAGAUCGGAAGGAACACCGGUGGCGAAGGCGGCUACCUGGACAGAUACUGACACUGAGGCGCGAGAGCGUGGGGAGCAAACAGGAUUAGAAACCCCAGUAGUCC
rnacentral:rRNA from 1 species